AGUCAGCUGUCGGCCAUGAGUGUCAGUCAAAGCUGUCCAAGUGCUGCUUGCAGGUUGACUCCAUCUGGGGGUUUGGAGGCGAGUUUGGUGUCCAGUUGGACAGAGUGGACCAGAAACAUAUUCUACGAAAUUAAGUAGGAGCUGGGCAAUGAUUGUUUUCUCCAGAACAGUGACAAGUGUUUGGAAACGGCCUAAGUGCUCAUCAGUGAGGGGUGAGGUGCAAUCUGUGGACACCCCACAAGGAACAGCCCUCCCCCUCCUUCCUGCCACCUUCAGCUGCCGCCGCCCCAGGACUGACUCGUCUGUGUGUGUUUCCAGUUUCCCCGCACUAAUGCUACAGGUGAUUAUACAGCGUCCAGAAUACGACAAAGACAUUUUGAACUCGAUGCGAUCUUUAAUCUGUUUAAAGUUGUUGUAUGGCCCCUAAGGUAUUUUAUUACAGACUUUUUAAUUAGUGAAAAAUUCAUGAAUACCAUAGAGAAAAUGUUUUAAAAUUUAAUGUUUCUUAUAUUUAUGUAAACUUAUGACUUUAUUUAUAUACUUACUUUUUCUUGUAUAGCCAGGCUAUAUAUAUCCUUUCAGAUCAAUUCAUGUUCUGAUACGUGAUUUUAGUCUUUCAAAUGAAUGUACUGUAAUGCUUGUCUGUAUAAAUCCUAUGAACAAAUAUAGGGCUUUUGUAAAUGAUGCAUUUAUUGUAAUUAUUCUUGUUUAAUUUUUAAAUGAUAAACCAUGAGAGAAGGGGUUUUCCUGCAAUUGUAAAAUCAUCAUGACACGGUGUGCAUUAUCCUUCCAGAAUGUAACUGAGCUCUCCAACACUCACCCUGAAAUGAGCGAACUUAAUUUCAACCAAUUGUUCUAUUUUAACGACUGACCUAAUCUGUACUUUUUCUAGCAAGAAAUGCUUUUUCUCUGCAGAGUGAAGCGAUUUAAAAGUACUGGGUGUUGAAUGUGAGCUUCUAGUGAAGUCUGGGCUGAAAGCAUGACUAGAAGACGACUAUGACAAUCUCUCCUGUGACCUGGUCUCUGAGGACCCGGGUCCCUCUCUCCGCUGAGACUCUUCGGGGACCAAUCGCGAUGCCUUGCACCCGCUGCAGAGCUGGUGCGCUGGACGGUGAAGGAGCCACGUCCCACAGACAGACAGCGUAGUGUAGCUCUAACAAAGGCCUUAGUUUUCUUAUGUAAACAAUCUUUUUAUCUGUAAACAUGUUUAAAGAAUGGACCUAGGCGUACAUUUGUAGAUUUUGACGACAUAGCCAUUUUGGAUUGUAUAAGCAGCAAAUGUAACUUUUACUCUUUCAGGAGCACAUUAAAAAAGCCAGCAAGAGAUGCGUUCAGAUCACAGUGCGUCAUUUAUUAUGCAGUGAUAUCUCAGUAGACAGAGACGGCACGUCUCUUUACAUGUGGGUUCCACCUUUAAUUUACUUGUACAAUUCAUUGUUACCAUUCUGUUUUUCUACUAAUCUUUGGUGAACUACCUGAAUAUGUGACUAAGUACGUACAGUCUACUUUUGAACUAUUUUUAUCACAGUAUUACUGCUUUCUUUCAAUAAAGUGCUGAAGGAAAAUUUCCCACUGCCAA